CUCUCUCGUCUCACUACCACCAUGUCGGGAAGAAAGAAGACUAGGGAGCCCAAGGAGGAGAAUGUGACGCUUGGGCCAACUGUAUGGGAGGGGGAGCAAGUGUUUGGUGUUGCCCACAUCUUUGCUUCUUUUAAUGAUACUUUCAUUCAUGUUACAGAUUUGUCUGGGAGGGAAACACUUGUUCGUAUUACAGGU